GACGAACGCUGGCGGCGUGCCUAAUACAUGCAAGUAGGACGCAGUUGCGAACGGGUGGGUAACGCGUAGGUAACUACCUAUUAGAGGGGGCUGACUAUUGGAAACGAUAGCUAAUACCGCAUACUAGUAGGUGGACCUGCGUUGUAUUAGCUAGUAGGUGGGGUAAUGGGCUACCUAGGCAACGAUACAUGACCGGCUCGGCAGGGUGAGCGGCCACAAUGGGACUGGGACACGGCCCAGACUCCUAAGGGAGGGAGCAGUAGGGAAUCUUUGGAAAUUGGGGGAACCCUGACCGAGCAACGCCGCGGGAGGUAAGAAGGGUGUCGGAGCGUAAAGCUCUGUUGUUAAGGAAGCGGUACUUAACCAGAAAGGGACGGCUAACUACGUGCCAGCAGCCGCGGUAAUUC
rnacentral:rRNA from 1 species